AACAUAGUUUUAUGUAUUUAUAUAAAAUAUUUUCUGCCCAAUGUUUUUAAAAAAAAUCAAUGGCCGCAGUACCUUGACUGUGCUAAGGUAGCAUAAUCAAUUGGCUUUUAAUUAAGGUCUAGAAUGAAUGGGAUAAUGAAGUUAAUCUGUCUUAGUUGCUUUUAUUAAAAUUUAUUUAAAAGGUGAAAAUACCUUUUUUAAAAAUAAAGACGAGAAGACCCUUAGAAUUUUUAUUAUUUUUUUUUGUUGGGGCGACAGUUUAAAAUAUAAUCUUAAAUUUAUUGUAUAUAUAUAACGAUUUUUUUAAUAGAAAUUAAAUUACCUUAGGGAUAACAGCAUAAUUAAUUAUUUAGUUUGUGACCUCGAUGUUGGACUAGGAACUAUAUGACUAACCGUCUAAUUAGAUUUGUUCUGUUCG
rnacentral:rRNA from 1 species